rnacentral:rRNA from 1 species
UACGAAGGGGGCUAGCGUUGUUCGGAAUUACUGGGCGUAAAGGGCGCGUAGGCGGCUCGACAAGUCAGGCGUGAAAGCCCCGGGCUCAACCUGGGAAUGGCGCUUGGGACUGGCGGGCUGGAGUUCGGGAGAGGAGCGUGGAAUUCCCAGUGUAGAGGUGAAAUUCGUAGAUAUUGGGAAGAACACCGGUGGCGAAGGCGGCGCUCUGGACCGAGACUGACGCUGAGGCGCGAAAGCGUGGGGAGCAAACAGG